UUAGCUAGUUGGUGGGGUAAAGGCCUACCAAGGCGACGAUCUGUAGCGGGUCUGAGAGGAUGAUCCGCCACACUGGGACUGAGACACGGCCCAGACUCCUACGGGAGGCAGCAGUGGGGAAUAUUGGACAAUGGGGGGAACCCUGAUCCAGCCAUGCCGCGUGUGUGAAGAAGGCCUUUUGGUUGUAAAGCACUUUAAGCGAGGAGGAGGCUACCGAGAUUAAUACUCUUGGAUAGUGGACGUUACUCGCAGAAUAAGCACCGGCUAACUCUGUGCCAGCAGCCGCGGUAAUACAGAGGGUGCAAGCGUUAAUCGGAUUUACUGGGCGUAAAGCGCGCGUAGGUGGCCAAUUAAGUCAAAUGUGAAAUCCCCGAGCUUAACUUGGGAAUUGCAUUCGAUACUGGUUGGCUAGAGUAUGGGAGAGGAUGGUAGAAUUCCAGGUGUAGCGGUGAAAUGCGUAGAGAUCUGGAGGAAUACCGAUGGCGAAGGCAGCCAUCUGGCCUAAUACUGACACUGAGGUGCGAAAGCAUGGGGAGCAAACAGGAUUAGAUACCCUGGUAGUCCAUGCCGUAAACGAUGUCUACUAGCCGUUGGGGCCUUUGAGGCUUUAGU
rnacentral:rRNA from 1 species